rnacentral:rRNA from 1 species
CUCGUAGGCGGCUUGUCGCGUCUGCUGUGAAAUCCCGGGGCUCAACCCCGGGCCUGCAGUGGGUACGGGCAGGCUAGAGUGCGGUAGGGGAGAUUGGAAUUCCUGGUGUAGCGGUGGAAUGCGCAGAUAUCAGGAGGAACACCGAUGGCGAAGGCAGAUCUCUGGGCCGCUACUGACGCUGAGGAGCGAAAGCAUGGGGAGCGAACA